rnacentral:rRNA from 1 species
AUACGGAGGGUGCAAACGUUGCUCGGAAUCAUUGGGCGUAAAGCGCACGUAGGCGGCGGGGUAUGUCGGGUGUGAAAGCCCUCGGCUUAACCGAGGAAGUGCAUCCGAAACUGCCUGGCUUGAGUAUGGGAGAGGGUAGCGGAAUUCCCGGUGUAGAGGUGAAAUUCGUAGAUAUCGGGAGGAACACCAGUGGCGAAGGCGGCUACCUGGACCAAUACUGACGCUGAGGUGCGAAAGCGUGGGGAACAAACAGGAUUAGAAACCCCAGUAGUCC